CCUACGGGUGGCAGCAGUGUGGAAUAUUGGUCAAUGGACGAGAGUCUGAACCAGCCAAGUAGCGUGAAGGAUGACUGCCCUAUGGGUUGUAAACUUCUUUUAUAAAGGAAUAAAACGAGGCACGUGUGCCUUUUUGCAUGUACUUUAUGAAUAAGGAUCGGCUAACUCCGUGCCAGCAGCCGCGGUAAUACGGAGGAUCCGAGCGUUAUCCGGAUUUAUUGGGUUUAAAGGGAGCGUAGAUGGGUUGUUAAGUCAGUUGUGAAAGUUUGCGGCUCAACCGUAAAAUUGCAAUUGAUACUGGCAGUCUUGAGUACAGUUGAGGUAGGCGGAAUUCGUGGUGUAGCGGUGAAAUGCUUAGAUAUCACGAAGAACCCCGAUAGCGAAGGCAGCUUACCAGACUGUUACUGACGCUGAAGCACGAGAGCGUGGGUAGCGAACAGGAUUAGAUACCCGGGUAGUC
rnacentral:rRNA from 1 species